AUGGAAGCCCCAGCGCAGCUUCUCUGCCUCCUGCUGCUCUGGCUCCCAGGCUCCUCUGGAGAAAUUUCCUGACACAGUCUCCUGCCUCCCUGUCACUUUCUCCCGGACAAAAGGCCACAGUCUCCUGCAGGGCCAGUCAGAGUCUUCGCAACAACUGGUUACACUGGUACCAGCAGAAACCUGGGCAGGCUCCCAGGCUCCUCAUCAAAUAUGCAAACAACAGGCUCGAGGGCAUCCCAGCCCGCUUCAGUGGCAGCGGGUCCGGGACAGACUUCACACUCACCAUCAUCAGCCUGGAGCCUGAGGAUGCCGCCACUUACUACUGUUACCAGAGUAAUAGUUACCCUCCCACAGUGACACAGGCCUGAACAAAAACCACCCCGGUGCCUGGUUCCUCUGGAGAGAUUGUAAUGACACAGUCUCCAGCCUCUCUGUCAUUUUCUCCAGGAGAAAAGGUCACGAUCUCCUGCAGGGCCAGUGAGAGUGUUAGCAACUACAUGGCCUGGUACCAGCAGAAACCUGGGCAGGCUCCCAGGCUCCUCAUCUAUCGUGCAUCCAGCAGGCCCAAUGGCAUCCCAGCCCGCUUCAGUGGCAGCGGGUCUGGGUCAGACUUCACGCUCACCAUCAGCAGCCUGGAGCCUGAGGAUGCCGCCACUUACUACUGUCAGCAGGGUUAUAGUCACCCUCCCACAGUGACACAGGCCUGA